rnacentral:rRNA from 1 species
UUGAACGCUGGCGGCAUGCUUUACACAUGCAAGUCGAACGGCAGCACGGGGGCAACCCUGGUGGCGAGUGGCGAACGGGUGAGUAAUGCAUCGGAACGUACCCAGUCGUGGGGGAUAACGCAGCGAAAGUUGUGCUAAUACCGCAUACGACCUGAGGGUGAAAGCGGGGGACCGUAAGGCCUCGCGCGAUUGGAGCGGCCGAUGUCUGAUUAGCUAGUUGGUGGGGUAAAGGCCCACCAAGGCGACGAUCAGUAGCUGGUCUGAGAGGAGGAUCAGCCACACUGGAACUGAGACACGGUCCAGACUCCUACGGGAGGCAGCAGUGGGGAAUUUUGGACAAUGGGGGAAACCCUGAUCCAGCCAUUCCGCGUGAGUGAAGAAGGCCUUCGGGUUGUAAAGCUCUUUCAGGAGGGAAGAAACGGUUGCGGCUAAUACCCGCGACUAAUGACGGUACCUUCAGAAGAAGCACCGGCUAACUACGU